UUUUCUCUGGGAAGAAAGUUGUGAAAGCAGCCUGACGGUACCAGAGGAAUCAGCAUCGGCUAACUCCGUGCCAGCAGCCGCGGUAAGACGGAGGAUGCAAGCGUUAUCCGGAAUGAUUGGGCGUAAAGCGUCCGCAGGUGGCASUUCAAGUCUGCUGUCAAAGACCGGGGCUCAACCUCGGAAAGGCAGUGGAAACUGAACAGCUAGAGURUGGUAGGGGCAAAGGGAAUUCCCGGUGUAGCGGUGAAAUGCGUAGAGAUCGGGAAGAACAUCGGUGGCGAAGGC
rnacentral:rRNA from 1 species